rnacentral:rRNA from 1 species
UACAGAGGUCUCAAGCGUUGUUCGGAUUCAUUGGGCGUAAAGGGUGCGUAGGCGGCGCGGUAAGUCGGGUGUGAAAUCUCGGAGCUUAACUCCGAAACUGCAUUCGAUACUGCCGUGCUUGAGGACUGGAGAGGAGACUGGAAUUUACGGUGUAGCGGUGAAAUGCGUAGAUAUCAGGAGGAACACCGGUGGCGAAGGCGGGUCUCUGGGCCGAUACUGACGCUGAGGAGCGAAAGCUAGGGGAGCAAACGGG